rnacentral:lncRNA from 1 species
CUAAUGGUUACGAUCCCUCUAUAAUAGAUAAACUCAUCCGUAAAAGAGAAUCUAGAUUGCUUCAAAAUUCUGCUUUCCAUCAGUCAUCUUCCUCUUCUGCUAUUUACAGGUCACUGCCAUAUCAUAACCCCACUCUAUCUAAAAA